UACGGGGGGGGCAAGCGUUGUUCGGAAUUACUGGGCGUAAAGGGCUCGUAGGCGGCCAACUAAGUCAGACGUGAAAUCCCUCGGCUUAACCGGGGAACUGCGUCUGAUACUGGAUGGCUAGAGGUUGGGAGAGGGAUGCGGAAUUCCAGGUGUAGCGGUGAAAUGCGUAGAUAUCUGGAGGAACACCGAUGGCGAAGGCAGGUCUCUGGGCCAUAACUGACGCUGAGAAGCGAAAGCAUGGGGAGCGAACAGG
rnacentral:rRNA from 1 species